rnacentral:rRNA from 1 species
UAGGGAAUCUUCCACAAUGGACGAAAGUCUGAUGGAGCAACGCCGCGUGAGUGAUGAAGGGUUUCGGCUCGUAAAACUCUGUUGUUGGAGAAGAACGGGUGUCAGAGUAACUGUUGACAUCGUGACGGUAUCCAACCAGAAAGCCACGGCUAACUACGUGCCAGCAGCCGCGGUAAUACGUAGGUGGCAAGCGUUGUCCGGAUUUAUUGGGCGUAAAGCGAGCGCAGGCGGUUUUUUAGGUCUGAUGUGAAAGCCUUCGGCUUAACCGGAGAAGUGCAUCGGAAACCGGGAGACUUGAGUACAGAAGAGGACAGUGGAACUCCAUGUGUAGCGGUGAAAUGCGUAGAUAUAUGGAAGAACACCAGUGGCGAAGGCGGCUGUCUGGUCUGCAACUGACGCUGAGGCUCGAAAGCAUGGGUAGCGAACAGGAUUAGAUACCCUGGUAGUCCAUGCCGUAAACGAUGAGUGCUAAGUGUUGGAGGGUUUCCGCCCUUCAGUGCUGCAGCUAACGCAUUAAGCACUCCGCCUGGGGGAGUACGACCGCAAGGUUGAAAC